GCUAUCAUCAGUCUAAAUUACAGAACUGUUGAAUAUGAACAAAUUCAUGGAGAGUCCAUAAACACCAUAUUCCAAUCAAACUCACACAAAGAAUUGCUUACUGUACAAGAAAGAAUUUUACAAACCACGUGUAAACACCAACACUCAGUUCAGGUGAUCAUGACCACCACCGCCACCAGUCUUGAGGAGCGUUAUCCUUUGAGAUUUUGAAUGGCUUUGUCGGUUGUUAAGAACGUCUAUAUAUGUUCUAAGCCUAUAUCGAUCCGAAUUUGUGAUCGAGAACGGAGGAUUAAGAAUCAGUGAAGGUGCUUCCACCAGAAGAAAGGUUAACAAACGCACCGCUUUUGAAUAGAACCCUGCUGCGUUGUCAGUAAAUCCCAUGCACUCAUCCACCUGCCAAAUGCACACGACACCCAUAUAUCAAAGAUUCAAGUGCCAUUGCACAGUUGAGCUCAUGGGCGUAGCUUUGUGGGGGCGGCCGACCCCCCGAACUUUUCACUCAAUAGUGGAGAGUAUGUAGUUUUCGUAUAGAAAUUUUUGGGUAUAUACGUUUUUGACCCCCCGGUUUUAUAGAAAUUUUUGGUAUAUACGUCUUCGGCCCCCCGGUCGGAAAUCUCAAGCUUCGCCACUGGUUGAGCUCAACAUAAAGUUUUAUCUAUGACAAAAAUAUCUGAUAGAGUAAAAUGCCAUUUUCGUCCUUGAGCCAUGUGUGAAUUGAGAAAAAGUCAAACACAAACCCUAAUUUUGACUAUUGGAGUUGAAGUCAACAGGAUCAGCUAGUGGUUUGUUUGUGUGUGUAUGUAUUUACAGAGGAUUUGUAUCUAUAGUGAUUGAUUGGAGAAAUUUGUCUGGUGUGAUUAGUGUUUUGGGGUGAAAUUGAUUUUUAGAUGAUUGAUUUGAGUGUGUGUGUGUGUGUGUGUGUUUUGUGUUGUGUUUGUUGGAAGGUUUUUCAGGUGGUGUAAGCUAAUGUGCGCCGUGGGCGUUAUGCGCACAGUGGUGUUCUUGUACAUG
rnacentral:lncRNA from 1 species